rnacentral:rRNA from 1 species
AUUGAACGCUGGCGGAAUGCUUUACACAUGCAAGUCGAACGGCAGCACGGACUUCGGUCUGGUGGCGAGUGGCGAACGGGUGAGUAAUGUAUCGGAACGUGCCCAGUCGUGGGGGAUAACGUAGUGAAAAUUACGCUAAUACCGCAUACGAUCUAUGGAUGAAAGCGGGGGAUCGCAAGACCUCGCGCGAUUGGAGCGGCCGAUAGCAGAUUAGGUAGUUGGUGGGGUAAAGGCCCACCAAGCCAACGAUCUGUAGCUGGUCUGAGAGGACGACCAGCCACACUGGAACUGGGACACGGUCCAGACUCCUACGGGAGGCAGCAGUGGGGAAUUUUGGACAAUGGGCGAAAGCCUGAUCCAGCCAUUCCGCGUGCAGGAUGAAGGCCCUUGGGUUGUAAACUGCUUUUGUACAGAACGAAAAGGUUUCUACUAAUACUAGGAGCUCAUGACGGUACUGUAAGAAUAAGCACCGGCUAACUACGUGCCAGCCGCCGCCGUAA